rnacentral:rRNA from 1 species
CUAGCAUAUCAAUAAGCGGAGGAAAAGAAACCAACAGGGAUUGCCUCAGUAACGGCGAGUGAAGCGGCAACAGCUCAAAUUUGAAAUCUGGCUCCCACAGGGCCCGAGUUGUAAUUUGUAGAGGAUGCUUCGAGCGAAGCCCCGGCCCAAGUCCCUUGGAACAGGACGUCAGAGAGGGUGAGAACCCCGUGUCCGGCCGGUGGCGCUCCUCAUGUGAAGCUCCUUCGACGAGUCGAGUUGUUUGGGAAUGCAGCUCUAAAUUGGUGGUAAAUUCCAUCUAAAGCUAAAUACCGGCCAGAGACCGAUAGCGCACAAGUAGAGUGAUCGAAAGAUGAAAAGCACUUUGAAAAGAGAGUUAAAAAGUACGUGAAAUUGUUGAAAGGGAAGCGCUUGCGGCCAGACUUGCCCGCGGUUAUUCAGCCCGCCGUUUGGCGGGUGCACUUGACCGCGGUCAGGCCAGCAUCGGUUUGGGCGGCCGGACAAAGGCCUUGGGAACGUAGCCUCUCUCGGGAGGUGUUAUAGCCCUCGGUGCAAUGCGGCCAGCCCGGACCGAGGAUCGCGCUCUGCUAGGAUGCUGGCGUAAUGGCCGUAAGCGGCCCGUCUUGAAACACGGACCAAGGAGUCUAACAUCUAUGCGAGUGUUUGGGUGUUAAACCCGUGCGCGUAAUGAAAGUGAACGGAGGUGGGAGCCCUCGGGCGCACCAUCGACCGAUCCUGAUGUCUUCGGAAGGAUUUGAGUAAGAGCAUAGCUGUUGGGACCCGAAAGAUGGUGAACUAUGCCUAGAUAGGGUGAAGCCAGAGGAAACUCUGGUGGAGGCUCGCAGCGGUUCUGACGUGCAAAUCGAUCGUCAAAUCUGGGUAUAGGGGCGAAAGACU